AAGGUACUUCCUCCGUCCGAAAAUACUUGUCGGAGAAAUUGAUGUACCUAGAUGUAAUUUAGUUCUAGAUACAUCCAUUUUGAUGACAAGUAAUUCCGAACGGAGGGAAUAGUUU
rfam:Triticum aestivum genome assembly, contig: Triticum_aestivum_CS42_TGACv1_scaffold_129417_2BL